rnacentral:lncRNA from 8 species
CAUUCCAUUUUGAGUACUACAUCCCAAAACGAAUUUGGAAAAACACUGCAUUAUUCUCUUGAGCAGCUUUGGGUUUAUUUCAUGCAACUCUGACCAGAAUAACUAAAGCAAGCAGAAGGUCUCAGAAGAAGAAGUGUCAUCCAAGCUUCUUUUUUAUACAUUUGUGCCGGUGCUAAAGACAUUGCCAAUUAAAAUCACGCUCACAAAGGCUGCGAAUACAGGACUACUCGCAGGCAAACCAAAUAAGGUACUUGGCACCAACUUCAAUCAGACACUUUUGUGUGGUCUCAAUUCUUACACUGUAAAAGAAAAAUAUGUUGAUUCAACAUAAAAUUGUAAGGGAACCAGCUGCACUCAGGAUUGUGCAUUUUCAACUGGUUGCAUUACAAUUGUAUGUUGAAUAAACAUAUUUUUUAUUGUAUUUUUUACAGUGUAUGCAUGAAUACAUGCAUUUAUAAAAAAAAAGUCUGAUAAUAUUCCUGUCAAAACAUUAUUAACAAUGCACUAACUGAACAAGAUGAGAUGAUGUCUCUUCAUUGAUACAGCUAUUUCAAAUGUCAUACGCUCAUCAGAUGAGAAAGAAAGAAAAUAUGUUUGACCAAUCCAUGUUUGCGUCCAUUUCCACAGUCUCAAACUUU